rnacentral:rRNA from 1 species
UACAGAGGGGGCAAGCGUUGUUCGGAAUUACUGGGCGUAAAGGGCGCGUAGGCGGCCUGCUAAGUCGGACGUGAAAUCCCUGGGCUCAACCCAGGAACUGCGUCCGAUACUGGUUGGCUUGAAUCCGGGAGAGGGACGUGGAAUUCCAGGUGUAGCGGUGAAAUGCGUAGAUAUCUGGAGGAACACCGGUGUCGAAGGCGACGUCCUGGACCGGCAUUGACGCUGAGGCGCGGAAGCCAGGGGAGCAAACGGG